AACGAACGCUGGCGGCAGGCUUAACACAUGCAAGUCGAACGCCCCGCAAGGGGAGUGGCAGACGGGUGAGUAACGCGUGGGAAUCUACCCAGUUCUACGGAACAACUGAGGGAAACUUCAGCUAAUACCGUAUACGCCCUACGGGGGAAAGAUUUAUCGGAAUUGGAUGAGCCCGCGUUGGAUUAGCUAGUUGGUGAGGUAACGGCUCACCAAGGCGACGAUCCAUAGCUGGUCUGAGAGGAUGAUCAGCCACACUGGGACUGAGACACGGCCCAGACUCCUACGGGAGGCAGCAGUGGGGAAUAUUGGACAAUGGGCGCAAGCCUGAUCCAGCCAUGCCGCGUGAGUGAUGAAGGCCUUAGGGUUGUAAAGCUCUUUCAGUGGGGACGAUAAUGACGGUACCCACAGAAGAAGCCCCGGCUAACUUCGUGCCAGCCGCCGCAGUAACAC
rnacentral:rRNA from 1 species